rnacentral:snoRNA from 1 species
GGCUUCCUGGUGUUUACCACAGGCUGUGCUCUUGCACUGACUGUAUAGAAAAAGGAGGCAGAGUGAGCUGACCCCAUAUUCACCUCAGCCAGGCCUUGUGCCUGGUCCGAAUUGUGAAUGGGGGAACAUGG